UACGUUCUAUUUCUAUCUGCAAUCAUGUGGAUGUUUCAAUCACCUGAAUAAACCCCAGAAAAUAGUCCAAGAGCUGAACCAGAAACAGUUAGGCCUGUGCAUGCUGACUGGACGAGGGGAGGCCAAGAGAGGGACUGUAGUUGGCUGCUCGGUGCCCAGUCAUAUUUUCCUGCAGAGAGCUUUCAUGAUCCAAGACGCCUCUGAGGAGCUGGCUGAGUGUGGGAACAGCAUCACGAUCAUACAGGGGAGUAGACAGUGACGGGAAGGCCUCCACAAACACUUUGUUCUGAAAGAUGGAAAUAAUGAAAAAUGAAGAACAAAUGUGUAUGUAUCAUUUCCAGUCAGUCCCAUGGACCAUGUACUCCUGGAGAUUACAGGAAUAUGCAAUAAAUUGACUCAUUGUCUUUUGUAGUCACUUCGGAGGAAAGAUGGAGAGAUUUAAAGGCCUACCACAUUUUGCGUCGCAGAGAAUCUGCCCCUUGUCUCCUCCACAGCAUUUGUGGGCCACCACUGUUCUCUUGUGUCUUGCCCUUCUCCCGCUAUAUCCUUUGGGAAGGCUGUCCAGGCAUCCUCUGAUUGUUGGAAUGAGCUGUCUGUCCAACCUGAGGUCCAAUGGGUAGACUCGUUGGUGAUGGAAUGGUUUUCAAGUGCAGCAUGGAAGGCAUCAGACAUGAAUCAUUACGACACUAGCUAGAUUCUAUUGAUUCUAUAUGAUCUGUAUGCCUUGCACUGAGUCGACCUCAAAGUGCAGGGACCUGGUGUAUGCUCCAAAUAGGCGGCUAUUUUGCAUGCUGUCCUCAUUCAAAUGGCCUGAAUGGGCAACAAAUAAAAGUUUGGUUUUUUUG